rnacentral:rRNA from 1 species
GACGAACGCUGGCGGCGCGCUUAACACAUGCAAGUCGAACGGAAAGGCCCUGCUUGCAGGGUACUCGAGUGGCGAACGGGUGAGUAACACGUGGGUGAUCUGCCCUGCACUUCGGGAUAAGCCUGGGAAACUGGGUCUAAUACCGGAUAGGAGCCAUUUUUAGUGUGAUGGUUGGAAAGUUGUUUCGGUGUAGGAUGAGCUCGCGGCCUAUCAGCUUGUUGGUGGGGUAAUGGCCUACCAAGGCGGCGACGGGUAGCCGGCCUGAGAGGGUGGACGGCCACAUUGGGACUGAGAUACGGCCCAGACUCCUACGGGAGGCAGCAGUGGGGAAUAUUGCACAAUGGGCGCAAGCCUAAUACAGCGACGCCGCGUGGGGGAUGACGGCCUUCGGGUUGUAAACUCCUUUCGCUAGGGACGAAGCUUUUGUGACGGUACCUAGAUAAGAAGCACCGGCUAACUACGUG